rnacentral:rRNA from 1 species
GUUAGGAAUUUUGGGCAAUGGGCGGAAGCCUGACCCAGCAACGCCGCGUGGGUGAUGAAGGCCCUCGGGUCGUAAAGCCCUUUUCCCAGGGAAGAUAGUGACGGUACCUGGGGAAUCAGCCCCGGCUAACUACGUGCCAGCAGCCGCGGUAAUACGUAGGGGGCAAGCGUUGUCCGGAUUUAUUGGGCGUAAAGCGCUCGCAGGUGGUUCGUUGCGUCGUGCGUGAAAGACCCUGGCUCAACUGGGGAGUGUCGUGCGAUACGGGCGGACUAGAGGCCAGUAGGGGGAUGCGGAAUUCCGGGUGUAGUGGUGGAAUGCGUAGAGAUCCGGAGGAACACCAGCGGCGAAGGCGGCAUCCUGGACUGGUCCUGACACUCAGGAGCGAAAGCGUGGGGAGCGAUCCGGAUUAGAUACCCCAGUAGUCC